CCUACGGGUGGCAGCAGUGAGGAAUAUUGGUCAAUGGGCGCUAGCCUGAACCAGCCAAGUAGCGUGAAGGAUGACUGCCCUAUGGGUUGUAAACUUCUUUUAUAUGGGAAUAAAGUGCAGUAUGUAUACUGCUUUGCAUUUACCUUAUGAAUAAGGAUCGGCUAACUCCGUGCCAGCAGCCGCGGUAAUACGGAGGAUCCGAGCUUUAUCCGGAUUUCGUUGGUUUAAUGGGAGAGUAGGCGGGUUGUUAAGUCAGUUGGGAAAGUGUGCGGCUCAACCGGAAAAUUGCAGUUGAUACUGGCAUCCUUGAGUACAGGAGAGGUAGGCGGAAUUCGUGGGGUAGCGGGGAAAUGCUGAGAUAUCACGAAGAACUCCGAUUGCGAAGGCAGCCUGCUGGACUGUAACUGACGCUGAUGCUCGAAAGUGUGAGUAUCAAACAGGAUUAGAUACCCCUGUAGUC
rnacentral:rRNA from 1 species